UCACACCAUGGGAGUUGGUUUUACCUGAAGACGGUGCGCUAACCCGCAAGGGAGGCAGCCGGCCACGGUAGGGUCAGCGACUGGGGUGAAGUCGUAACAAGGUAGCCGUAGGGGAACCUGCGGCUGGAUCACCUCCUUUCUAAGGAUGAUCCUUCAGCGAGCUCACGCUCACUAUCGGAUCGUUUUAGAAACAUCAGUGGCCAACAGAUCGCCAGAUCGUUGAGCUGCAUUGGCGGGAUUUCGCCGUCUUCGUUUCUCUUUCUUCGCGGACGAACACGCGCUGGGCCUGCAUCAAGCAGGAUCCCACGGUCCCUGACGGGAUAUGCGUUAGGGGCUUGUAGCUCAGUUGGUUAGAGCGCGCGCUUGAUAAGCGUGAGGUCGGAAGUUCAAGUCUUCCCAGGCCCACCACUUUCAUCGAGUGAGCAUUCGUCUUCUGGUUACGGGGCCAUAGCUCAGCUGGGAGAGCGCGUGCUUUGCAAGCAUGAGGUCGUCGGUUCGAUCCCGUCUGGCUCCACCACGCUUCGCCUUUCAGGCUUCGCGUGGCGCAGCCAAGCACGGUCGAAGCGUGCCCGGCGUAGCUCACUUGAGCGUAGACGGGCUGGUUGAGAUCAGCCCGUAACCAUCACCGUCCGCGAAACAUCACUUCGUAUCCUGCUAGUCUGGAUAGACAGCAAGAUGCGUGUUUUCUGACAUCGUAAAGAGGAGAUCGAUCCGAGUUGGGUCGUGCAGCAGAUUGUUGCGCGAAUCCUUCAUUAUCUCCGGAUCAUUUUCGGCGCUCGCUUUCAGCCGUGAGGUUGAAUGCGAGUUGUAAAAUGAUCCUUUUAGCGAAGCUUGACCGCCUCGCUAUCGGAACGAUCUUACGGAAGGCAAGCUGGUCUUUCUAGUCAAUGUCCGGCUGCACGUAGCAUUCAUCGAGGGUGCGCGCCGUAAGGCAAUCGUGGAUCGCCAGAUCGUUGAGCUGCAUUGGCGGGAUUUCGCCGUCUUCGUUUCUCUUUCUUCGCGGACGAACACGCGCUGGGCCUGCAACGGCAGGAUCCAGGGUCCUUAACGGGAUGUGCGUUAGGGGCUUGUAGCUCAGUUGGUUAGAGCGCGCGCUUGAUAAGCGUGAGGUCGGAAGUUCAAGUCUUCCCAGGCCCACCACUUUCAUCGAGUGAGCAUUCGUCUUCUGGUUACGGGGCCAUAGCUCAGCUGGGAGAGCGCGUGCUUUGCAAGCAUGAGGUCGUCGGUUCGAUCCCGUCUGGCUCCACCAGAUGGUUUGAUCACCGAGAUCUUGACCGUCGUCCGCGAAACAUCACUUCGCAUCCUGCUAGUCUGGAUAGACAGCAGUUUGCGUGUUUUCUGACAUCGUAAAGAGGAGAUCGAUCCGAGUUGGGUCGUGCAGCAUAUCGUUGCGCGAGCCUUCAUUAUCUCCGGAUCAUUUCGGCGCUCGCUUCCAGCCGUGAGGUUGGAUGCGGGUUGUAAAUGAUCCUUUUAGCGAAGCUUGACCGCCUCGCUAUCGGAACGAUCUUACGAAGCAAGCUGGUCUUUCUAGUCAAUGUCCGGCUGCGGAUAGCGUUCAUCGAGGGCGCGUGCCGCAAGGCAAUUCUGCAGACAACAUUCUGCCGAGUGUGUGGACAUUGAUAAUGAGAGCAAUCAAGUGCCUUAAGGGUGUUCGGUGGAUGCCUUGGCGCUGAGAGGCGAUGAAGGACGUGCUACGCUGCGAUAAGCCGUGGGGAGCUGC
rnacentral:misc_RNA from 1 species